CAAUAGUUAGCCUCGGUUGACAACCUCCGAAAACUAGUAAACUUAGCAUUAUAAACAGCCUGUCAGAACGGGGAAUGGCUGCACGUAACGAGAAAAUCAACAUAAUUGCCACUUUGUACGGUAGUGAAGCAGUACGCUUGUGCCUGCAACGCAGAGCUGGCGAAGGCUAUAGCUGUAACGUACGAGAGAAGAGCCACAAG